rnacentral:rRNA from 1 species
GGGGAAUAUUGGACAAUGGGCGAAAGCCUGAUCCAGCCAUGCCGCGUGAGUGAUGAAGGCCUUCGGGUCGUAAAGCUCUGUGGGGAGGGACGAAAAGCGGGUUGCUAAUACCAGCCUGAAUUGACGGUACCUCCUUAGCAAGCACCGGCUAACUCCGUGCCAGCAGCCGCGGUAAUACGGAGGGUGCAAACGUUGCUCGGAAUCAUUGGGCGUAAAGCGCACGUAGGCGGUCCCUUAAGUCGGGUGUGAAAGCCCUGGGCUCAACCCAGGAAGUGCAUUUGAAACUGAGGGGCUAGAGUACAGAAGAGGGUCGCGGAAUUCCCGGUGUAGAGGUGAAAUUCGUAGAUAUCGGGAGGAACACCAGUGGCGAAGGCGGCGACCUGGGCUGAUACUGACGCUGAGGUGCGAAAGCGUGGGGAGCAAAC